rnacentral:rRNA from 1 species
UGAGGAAUAUUGGACAAUGGGCGCAAGCCUGAUCCAGCAAUACCACGUGACUGAAGAAGGCCUUAGGGUUGUAAAAGUCUUUCAGCAGGGAAGAUAAUGACGGUACCUGCAGAAGAAGCUCCGGCUAACUCCGUGCCAGCAGCCGCGGUAAUACGGAGGGAGCUAGCGUUGUUCGGAAUUACUGGGCGUAAAGGGCACGCAGGCUGGUGUGAAAGUUGGAAGUGAAAUCCCGGGGCUUAACCUCGGAACUGCUUUCAAACUACAUACCUAGAGAUUGAGAGGGGAGAUUGGAAUUCCUAGUGUAGAGGUGAAAUUCGUAGAUAUUAGGAGGAACACCGGAGGCGAAGGCG